UGAACACGUCUCUGCUUUUCAUUUCCAAUUUCCAGAGCUCUGAUAUUUAGAGUUGGCAAACAUCCACCAAAGGGCCCGGGCUUAUUUUAUCCCCAACAAAUUGGUGUCAGAAGUUUUGGGUUGCAAUUGGACAGAACGGAAAUGACAGGUAAGAGAAUUUAGUGUCUUUUACGACCUUUAUUCUUUACCUGCUUCUCCCAUCCUACACACAUUGCAUUUGUUAUUUAAAUGGGGUUUUUCACUAUUUAUAUUUUUAUUUAAAGGGGAUUUUCACUGCAUACUGUCUUUGAUAGACAUGGUAUUUUUUUUAAGUCUAAGGUAGACUUUUAUGACUCCUUGGGUAGGAGGAAAGCCUUUGGCAGGCAUUAUUGUACACAAUUGUCUAUGGUAGACAAUUCCUCUUUGGUAGAGGUUCACCUUUGGCAGGUGGUAAAAAGAUUUUCAAGCCUUUGACAGGCUGUCAUGUCAUGGUAUGUAAUGUACAUGUACAUGUGGGUUUUGCAGACUAAAAUGGUUUAGAAAAAAAAGGGGGGGGGGGCUAAAAGGGAAUAUUGUUUAAACCCUGUAUGAUGGAUGUUUGGCAUUACUCCAGCUUGCUACUUUAUGUGACUGUGCAACUCUGAUUUUAAGCAUCAAGUCUUAAUUGCCUGUAAUUUUGAAAUAUGUACUUCCCAGUCUAAAAAAUAUCAACCCCCCCAAUUCAAGGAGAGAACUGCAAAUAGUAUGUUGCUAGAAUAGGGGAUAAGAUAAAUAAAAUGGGAACGAGGGAGACUGUUUUUAACAUUCUAUCUGCCCUGUGUGUUUGUUGCAGAGAAUUCAUGUUGUAAAUGUAGAUGUUUAUAAAUUAGAGAGCAAAAUUUAUAUUUUCAGCGGUCCAACACAUGCUUCAUUUUGUGCUGUAAGCUAACUUGUGCUUGCUACAGGUACUUGAAAUGAUCCAGUACAUCACUUGUUGUAUAUCCAUUAGAUUGUAUGUAUUCUGUAGCAUUGUAAAAAUCUGUAAAUUGUUGUAUGGGGAUGCUGAGAUUUUAUUGAUUGUGACCCAAACUGUGCAGAAGUGGGUUUGAAGUUUGGUUAUAGAAUGUAGGAUCAGAAAACCAUGGACAAAGGUUUUUACCUGUGUUGUUAUGACUUUUGGGAACUAAAAAUUUUGCCAUGCCUUUAACAUGGAGUAAUAUAAAAAUGUUGAGUCUUUGAGAGUUCUGACAAAUGCAGGUGAUACCAUGUCUGUGUAAUCUGGUCCAAAUGUUCUAUAAAUUCUAUUGACAGGGUAUAUAUGUUGCAACUGGUUAAUGCACGUGUUAUACAAAUAUUUAAAGGUCAUUGUGGUAUGCCUGCCUUCCUGGUCUUCCAGGUCCUCCUGGAUCAUCUGGAGAACAAGAUACUCCUGAAAGUCAAGGUUUAUUGAGUCCCAGAGGUGAUCGUGGGGAAAAUGGUUCCCCUGGUGCCCCUGGUCCUGCUGGUCCUGCCGGUCCUGCUGGUGUUCGUGGCUCACAAGGAGCACGUGGUGACAAGGGUGAAGAUGGUGAACGUUUAAGAAUUCUUAAAUAAAUCUGAUACAAACUAAAAUUGGUAUACCUUACAAUAAUAUGUUCUGAAUACAACUGUUAAAAGUUUAUUCUGUUAAAAGUUCAUUUUGAAGUAUGCAGUUUAAUUGAUAUGUAUGUUAAUGGGUAUUUUGCUGUGUUCUUUUAAAUUAUAUUUGAAUAAGUUUGUCUCAGUAUUGAUAUAGAUGGAAAUAGCAGUGUAAUAAUCUAUUAAAUAAAUGAUUUAUUAUUGAAUACUAGUCCAAGAGCAAUAGGAGUUGUAAUCCUUAAAGCAAAAGAAAAAAAAACUUACAAUGUUUUUGUAAGUUUUGGCUGAUUUCCAAUAUUCUGUUGCAAUAAUGGACUUCUUGCCAAAAUUCGACUUUCCUGUCCAGUUGCCAGGUUUUCUGGUCUAUCCUUAAAGCAGUACUGAUUGCAUAGUUUGCAGAAAUGCAUAAUGCACAAACAUAGGAACCUAGAUUAUGUCUGUGUUUCUUUUGAGGGACACCGAGUGUGACAUUUAUUAAUUUAUUUUGGAUUGAGUUAAUUGCCUGUCCAUGAAUAUGCUUUUUGUAUUGGCAUGUCUGCUGGAUAUCUGCUACAUUCGUUGUGUUCUGUGUUAUAAGAUGACAUGUGUGAUAUUACAAUGAGUAUGAAGAAUAUUUUAAAAAUAUUUGCAUGCCAUUAAAGGAGCACUAUAGUGCCAGGAAAACAUACUUGUUUUCCUGGCACUAUAGUGCCCUGAUGGUGUCCCCACCUUCAGGGUCCCCCUCCUGCUGGGCUCUAGGGGAGGAAUGGGUUAAACUUACCUCUUUUUCCAGCACCGGGUGGGAGACUCUCCUCCUCCUCUACGCCUCCUCGGCUGAAUGCGCAUGCGCGGCAUGUGCUGCGCGCGCAUUCAGCCAGUCUCAUAGGAAAGCAUUCACAAUGCUUUCCUAUGGAUGCUGGCGUCUUCUCACUGUGAAAGUCACAGGGAGAAGCGCGGAAGCGCCUCUAACGGCUGUCAAUGAGACAGAAACUAGAGGCUGGAUUAACCCAUUUAUAAACAUAGCAGUUUCUCUGAACCUGCUAUGUUUAUAGAAAAAGGGUUAAACCUAGCUGGACCAGGCACCCAGACCACUUCAUUAAGCUGAAGUGGUCUGGGUGCCUAUAGUGGUCCUUAAACACAAGUGUCUUUUUACAACAGAGUAAAAAAAAACGCUGAUCAGCCGACAAGAAAGGGGCCCCUGAAAAAAAAAUCAAAAAAAAAAAAAAUCUCCUUUUCAAAAUUGUGGAUUCACGUUUCCAUUAGGGGAGUAUUUAGAGUUAACUCUACUUUUAAAGUGCAUUGCAUUAUUUAAAUCAAAGAAAAAGAAAAAUGUGUUAUCUUUAACAUAAAAAAUUGUUAUAUAAAAUAUAUGGUUAUAUAAAAAGAAAAAUUGAAUGGAUGUAUAGGAUAGGUUUUUUCCAAGAUUAAGAUUCAUUUAGUAUGCCUCAUUGAUUAUAGCGAUGAAAUGGUAUUUUUAAUAGAGAUCAGAGAAUUUAUUUUGCUUAUAAGUGAGGCAAUUCUUAACUACUGUAUUAUAUUUGUAUUGGUAAAUUGAAAGCAUUUUGCAGACCCAGAAGAGAAUAAAUAAUAUAAUUAUAAAAGGAAUCAUACUAUGGGAAGAGGUCACCCUAUUAACUUUGCUGAGGGGUUAAACUCAUUUUUGAUAAGCAUAUAAAAUUUAGUUUUUGUGGUUAGACUUUUGAUACUCAAUUUGAAAUCACUUGAAGUAUUACAACCAUAUCCUUGCAGGUAUAGAAAACAGCUGCAAUAUGAUUUUAAUAUUUGCAAUAUUUUAGUGUUUUUAAUGUAUUCUGACAAUGGAAAAAUACCUCUCUCGCAUAUGGAGCAGGACCCUCCACCCUUCUGUUCCCGUAUGUCCAGUUGUCUGGUUACAAUUACAUGUCUGUUAGUUCACUCAUUGUACAUUGCUACGGAGUCUGAUGGCGCUAUAUAAAUAAUAACAUAAUAAUAAUAAAAAUAAUAUCUGCAUUACGCCCAUGCCCAGACUGUCAGUAUUGCAACUGUGCCUUACAUACACAAUGUAACUAUACAAUAAAUCUUCAAAAGCCUAUCAAUAUUAUAUCUGUGUGGUACACAAAGAGGGGUACACAAAGAGGGGGGUGUGAGUUAGGUAAUCUCGACCUGUAUCCCUCCUUGUUCACUUUUGGUCAAAUUGUUGGCCUGUGACUGGCCCUCUUUGACCCCAAUUCAAUUUCUUUGGAAGAUUCAUGAGAAAGAUACAGCAAGUUGUUUUGUUAUAAAGAAAGAGAGAAAAGUAUGUGGUAUCGGUCACAAAGGAUUGUGAUCUUAAGCAGGCGAGACAAGGAUAUUUGAGAGGUGAUAGGAGAUUGAAUCAGAAAACUUUUGUAGAGGUGGCAACUUCAGCAUUGGUGGAACACACUGUUUUAAUUGUGGAUAGCAGGGUCACUGGAAAAAUUAGUGCUCAAACCCAUCCCGGCAGAUUCCUCAAUACCAACCAUAGCUUCCAACCCAUACCACACCCAACAACCCCAGCCUAAUACACAGAUGGUACAUGUUUUUAAUAUUUUAUAUACAGUUUUGAGUGAUAAAACAGUUUUAAUGCUGGCUCUUAGAGGGUGUACAAGCUGAAGUUGGGACAUAGACAUUGUUUGCAUAGGCUUCGCAAUGUGAAAUAACUAAAGUAAAAUCAUGUACGCUUAGUCAAUUUGUAACGUAAUUUUGACAGAAUUCAGCAUUCCAAUUCUAUUAAAGUAAUUAAUUGGGAUUAUCAAAUUAAUGUUUAAGUUUAAGAACAUAAUUUUAUUGGGAAUUAUUCCAAUAUGUAUAUGUUAGUGUUUUAGUACUCAUUCUGUCCAACAAGCAUUUAUAUAGAAUGAGUGCUUCUCUCAUCCAUACAAAGUCAUUCUAAAGGGAAAUUAUGUAUUCAAAUUUUAUAAAGGACAAAUUCAAUGAAAUAUAAGCAACACUGAGAGAAGUACAUGUUACACAAGUUAAGGGUUUAAUUUUAGUCUCUAAUUUGAGUUUAGCCUAGAUAAUUAACUUAUUGAUGUCGUACUGAUCCUUGUGUUUGUAUGAUUAUAGAGACCGUACUGAAGUAUUUGUGCCGCCUGAUAUUUGGAACUACACACCAAUCUCUCUAGCUGACCUACCUACCUAUUUGCAAAUAAAUCUGUUUGGUCAAAAUCCACGCUAGCCGAAGAAACUGAGAUGCUUACUUAUGAGGACAUAAACUAACUUGGAAAGACCUGAAGGUGCAGUGCUGUCUAGUGCCGCUAUUUCUGUAUUAACCCUUUCAACAAUUGGGGUGUUGCACAGAGCAUUUUGGUGAACAUCCAGCAAACAGAAGAAUUAAGAACUAUGUGGAAGCUGACAUUACCUUGUUGUCAGCCAUAUUGCUACCCUUAGCUAUAUUAUGGUGUCUAAGAUUAUGGAACAAAGUUUAUGGUGUCUGAGAUUCUUUAUACUCCUUGAAAGACUUAUUCUAUUUUUCUGGACUAUGCUGGACUAUUGAACUAUUUUGUUUUUAUUUUUGUAGAGUUAGCCAGAGAGAGCGGAAGUGUUGGCUUAUUCAGGCAUGGAUGUACUAUGUGUGUCAUUGAUGUAUGUUGAGUGUACCAAGGAUGGAUUCCCAUUUAUUAAGUGUGGAUAUGACUGGACCGUCAAAAAUAGGGAUGUGAUUAGAAGACAUAGGACGCAAGGUCAUGAUUGGGAUUAUUGUUAGAAUUGCAAACUGAUUAUAAGUUAUCUCAUGAUUUAAUAUGUAACUGGAGCAAGCUAUUCAAGCCUGGAUAUUUCAGAAAUGAAAGUGUUACUGCUGUGGUUCAAUGUAAAUCAAAUUAACUUACUUUAUAUAUGACCAGUUGUCAUGCAAGCCCUGUUGAGGUUGGAUGUUUGUCAAUCACAUUUUUUUUUCUUUGUAACUAAAAUCAUGACUUUGUGAUGUGUUAAUGUACAUUUCAAAAUGUAGUUUUAUUUCUUAUGCAGUAUGAAAGGUCUUCUUCUCCUAGUGUAUCCUUCAAGUAGAGUUGAGUUAAUACCCAUGAAGUGAGAAGAGAUUUUUUUUAUUUUACCACUACUCUAAUACAAUCCACAUAGAAGAACAUACAUUGGUUGCUUAAAAUGCUGGAAACUAAGGCUAAAAUGAUAGAUGUUUACAAGUAUAAAAAACAGGGCUUAAAAUUCAAAGAAGAUUCUAGGUAUUAACAGCUGUUAAAUGUGUAGGGUUUACCUUUAAGUACUAAACGCCACAAUUUUUUUUCAAGAGGCUGGUUACCCUCUCCAUAUACAUAGGUUUCAAAAUAUACAAUUUAAUGGAAUAACUGGAGUAUAUGUAGCCUAUUUUUAUUCAGUAAUAAAUGCAUUUUUUAUAAUAAAUAAUUGAUCAAAUGAAUAUUUAUGGAGGCGGGGCCUGACAACUGACCGAGGUAGACGUGUGCUGCUGGAGAUCCUCCAUGGAAAUCUGAAUUUAUUUCCUUUAACUUGAAAUUUUGCCAAAUUUAAGCAUGUAACUGGCUACAUACAACGGGGAUGCUGCAGCCCAUCGAGCAAGCCCUUUGGAUCUGCAUAAAACUCUGGUUCUACAUAGAUUUGCCUUGGUGGCCUUCUGGCAGACUCUGCGCGAGGGUGUCGUCAAACUAUCUGCCUGAACCUAUGCUUGAUUGAUACAGUGCCCUGUAUCGUACCCCUGGACUGCUGAGGGAUAUCGCAGUCCCGACCAAAGUCUAUUGAGAAAGCGCAUCUGCACUUACCUCGUGUUCCAAGUGCUACUCCUGUUGCACCCAAACUUAUAAGUUCCAUCAAGAUGGUGGAGGCUCCUCACAUUAUCAGACAAGGCCUGUAACCAUCCCAGCAGCUCCAUUGCACAUCAAUGGAAAAUAUUUUACACCACCUAGAUGAGACUUUCCGGAGCUUCUGGCGUAAACUACAUGAAUGUAGGUAUGUCCUUGUGCUUAAGCCACAGGAAGAACAACAGAGUAACACAGAGCCGGAGAAGAGCGCUUCCUCUCAGGGCAAGGCUAGUCAAUGAGCGUCUACCUAUGCUUCCGUCUGCCUCCUGGGCUGAGAGCAUACUGAGGCUCUGCCUCAAAGCAUUGGCCUCACAGUCCGAAGAUCAACCACCAUCAGUGGUACACUACAUCUGGAUCUUCCUGCUGCUCCUGGCGGGGAAGAGACUUGGAUUAAAAGAAUCUCCAAGUCUGUGGAUUGCAGAUGCAGGCCCUCAUUCAGGCAUGUGGCUGGAGAGGGGCCCUACCCCAGCGCUGUGAUGUGGACACACAAGCAAUCUCCUCUAGCAUCGAUCCAUGCCUGCCACUACUGGGGAUCAGCUGAAACAGGCCCUAGGGCCAUAGCCUAAAUAAUGUCAAUAAAGGCUAAUACUUCCUGCUGCCAUAUGUAGCUCACGUUCACUUAGAUAUGGGGCUUGCUCUCUUAUUCCUAUUGUUAUAUUUUCUUUGUGUUAUUUGCCUAUUUUUUCUUCCAUCCAUCACCCUAUCUUCUAUGAUGCUAUAUCGUAGAGCUGUGUAAUGCUUCGGUGGAUAACCUAUAGGCUAACUCAGCACAUGUUAGUUAAUCUGAUAACUCUUUGCCUAUAACGCCUCAUAAAUCUCAUGUUUAUUACCUUGUUAAUCGCAGAAUGACAAUUGUUUCCUCAUUGUUUAGACAUGUUAAACCAGCAUGAUUAAUUUACCUAAAAUUGUGCCAAUGUCUCACUGCUGUACUUAUGUUUUCAUAUGUUUGACAAUAGUAUGCUUGUGUUCGCUGUUGUGGCAUUCGAAGUAGUAAGCAGGACAGCUGGGAAGUCUAAGUAUGUAGGGCUACUGAAUAUUACCCAAUACUCAAAUUUCCUGUAUUUCUUUUAAACUGUGUAGACAGAGUAGAUAUAUCAGACUUGUCUAGAAAGCAAAUAUAUACUGUGUGUUUAUUUAAGCAUAAUAUUAGUGGUGAGCACUCAGCCCUUGAUAUUAUAUGUACAGAAGUGUGCAUAUGACUUGCCAGUUGGAAACAUAGAAAACUAUGGAUGGUCCCAGAUAUGUAUUUCUCAUUAGGCGUUGUAGGCACCUGUGUACAGAGAUGCCUGUCCUCAGAGGGCACCAGUUUUCAGCAAUUAUAAUGUGCCUUUUUGGACCUUACAUGGGCUGGUUCAAGUGAAAUAAGUGAUAAGAGCCUUGGCCAGUAUCCUCUGUGUCCAGUCAGCCUCCUAAGCUUGAUGUCAGAGCUAUGUCAGGAACAGUUAUAGGUGGUAUAAAAGCUGUACCAGCUCCUCCAAUGUUUAUUUGUUAGGUUGGACAGGAAGUGGAAGGGAUAACAAAGAAAGUGUUUGCAGAAGGAGCAGGAGAUGGCAAUGAGUGGUGCACAUUGUAUAACAGCUACUUCAAAUCAAAAAAAUCACUGGAACCAUAGGACGGUGAGUACUUUGCAAACAACCCUUCAAAAGUCAUGUCGUAAACACCCUUUUCGUGAACCCAAAAGCAACCACCAAACAUAAACAAAGCCUUUUCUUAUUCAUAAAUGUAAGCAUUCAAAGCCUAAAACCGCAAAAAAAUAAGUAAAAUAAACUCUCUGCCUGAAUCCUAGGUUUGGCAUACACCUAUGAAACUAAGCACACCACGUACCCAAUACUAAAUUUAACCACACUCUAAACCUAAAUCCAAAAAUACUAAACACAUUUGAGAACACAACUGUAACCUCUCUCAAGCAUAUAAUCAUAGUACCUUAUAACACUCUUCUCCAAUGCUGAAAUAAACCCCUUUCUAACCUUAAACCUCUUUUUACCCUAACUUCUAACAUUACCGUUGACCCUGCAUGUAUUUAAGCAGCAAUUGCAGUGGGUGCAUACACUUUCUAUACUCACAGAUUCAAGCACAAUACAUUACAAGCAGGAAUAUGCAUGUACAUAUAAACAUGUGCGAUUAUCAUACAUGAAUAUCUAUAACUGAUUUUUUUUAAUUUGUAGAAUUCUGUGCCUAUAGACACCUGACACAGGGCCGGCGCUUCCUAUAGGCGACUUAUGCAGUCGCCUGGGGCACACCUUAGGAAGGAGCUCCGCCAGGAGUGCCGGCCCCACUCAUCCUGCAGCAGCCUGAGCGCUCUAUAGUGAGCACUUCCUUUCAGUUCGGCCGGGUACAGGAAACAGAAACUCCUGUACCACGGACCUGAACUCUGCCACGCUACACAGGGAGGAGAAGGGGAUGAGGAGAAUGGGGGGAGAAACCGCUGAGGGAGGGGGUGGGGGAGAGACCACCUUGGGAGGGGCAGCAGGGGAGGUGGAAGAGAGACCUUUAUGGGAGGGAGGGGGGUGAGGAGAGACCACUAAGGGAGGGGUGAAGAGAGACCACUAAGGAAGGGGUGAAGAGAGACCACUAAGGAAGGGAGGGGGCGGUGAGGAGAGAUCACUAAGGGAGGGAGAGGCCGGUGAGGAGAGAUCACUAAGGGAGGGAGGAGGGGUGAGGAGAGACCACUGGGGAGGAGAGGAGACACCAUUAAGGGAGGGGGGUGAGGAGAGACCACUAAUGGAGGGAGGGGGUGGAGGAAAGACCACUAGGGGAGGGGGUGAGAAGAGACCACUAAGGGUGAGGGGAGAGGCAAGACCACUAACAGGGAGGGGGGAGAGGAGAGACCACUAAUGGAAAGGGGAGGGAAAGGAGAGAUGACUAAUGGAAAGGGGGAGAGAGAUCACUGGGAGGAGAGAGAUCACUAAUGGAAAGGGGAAGAAGAGGAAAGUACACUAAGAAGGGGGGGAGGAGAGUAGAGACCACUGAGGAGGUGGGGAGGAAAAAGAUGACUAAUGAAAAGGGAGGAGGAGACACCACUAGUGGGGCAGACGAGAGCAGAGACCACUAAGGGUGAGGGGAGAGGAGAGAUCACUAAUGGAAAGGGGGGGAGAAGAGGAGAGUACACCAAGGUAAGCGGGGGAGGAGAGUAGAGACCACUAAUGGGUUGGGGGAGAGGAGAGACCACUAAGGCACAGGGGAGGAGAGGAGAGACUACUAACGGGCAGGGGAGAGCUCAAUGGGGGGGUAGGAGACAGCACUAAGGGACGGGGGGCAGAGCACUAUGGGAAAGGGGGCGGGGAGUUCACUAAGUGACAGGGGAGAUCACUAAGGGACAGUGAUGAGCACUAAAGGGCAGUAGGGGAGAGAGGUAAGGGACACGAGGGGAGAGGGGCUGAGCAAGGGGGGAAGGAGAAGCACAAAGGGGCUGGUAGGACUCACCCCCUAUCCCACCCCACAAACUCUCUCUUUCACAUUACACACACCAUGCUUCCCUAUAUAUACACAAAUAAACAAUGCAUCCCUACACACACAGAAACACACCAUGCUUCCGUUACACACAGAGAAACAUACAAUGCAUCCAUUACACACAAAGACAAUGCAUCCCUUGCACACAUACACAGAAACACACUGCUUCUCUUACACACACAGAAACACAAUGCAUAUCUUACACACACAGAAACACAAUGCAUAUCUUACACACACACACUGUCAGGUAUACCCAACAUUCAUGCUGCCGCCGGAACCCACUUCCGGGUUCACUGCGCUUAGCUCCGCCCCUUUUUUCUGACGCGGUCUUUCCACGAUACUUAGGAAGACCGCGCCAGAUUCAAAGUGCUGGAUUAUUCACUCAGGUGCGGCAGUGAGAUCAGCUGCUCUACUCGAUGCUACCGGCUCCACUUCUCAGACCUCGGCUUAUAAACGGAAUUCUACCUUCUCCUCUCUCAGACCUCGGCUUGGACAAACGGACUUCCUUUCUCUCACUACUAAACUGCAGUUUGUUAAAAGAGACUCCUUCCUCUUCCUCCAUUGGGUGAAUUAACCCUUCCAGUGCCAGAGUGCUUCUAAGUUAAGUAAAUCUUUUGUCAAGGAAAGCAAGUCAUAUCAAUUAAUUAUAGUAUUUAAUUUCUUUAAACUCUCUGUUGACAAAUAAGGAUUGCUGCUAAGGCUAAAACUUCAUUAUUAAAAUUCAAGUUGGAACUAACUUGGCAUUUUCCUGAUUAUUAUUUAAAGAUACAGUCCACUGAUUUCACUCCAAUAUAAUAGGAGGUGAAACUUACUGUUCCUGCCCUCAGAAAAUUCUGCAGUUGAGUUCCAAUUAAAGAGGUAUUACACAAAAGCAUCACACACACACACACACACUCAAUGCACCCCUUUCAGACACACACAUAUUGCAUCCCUUACAUACACAGAAACACACCUUGCAUCCCUUACUCAUACAAACACAGAUUCACACAAUGCAUCCCUUAAACACAACCAGAAACACACAAACACACUGCUUUCUAUCCCUUACACAAAAACACACUGCAUCCACUACACACACACUGCAUCACCUACACAACUUGGUAUCCCUAUACACUACAUUCCAUAAGCACACACUUUAUAUCCUCUACACUAACGUAACACAUCCCCUAAACACUGCACUCCCUGUGAGCGAACUUAUGGGUGGAACAUGUAGGUGGACUUAUGAGUGGGCCUUAUGGACAUACUCACCGUCAGGCCCUGGGGGCCCAAACCUUGAGCUGCGCAAGGGGCCCAAAAAAAAAAAAAAGGAGCUGCUUCACCUUCCCCCAGAACAUUGACUUUUGUGGCCACAGUUACAAACAGCCGCCAGAGAGCCUAUUCUACACCAGACCAGUGGAGCCAAACCGCAGCCAGAGCCCAUCAUCCUCAUCUGGUUGUAAGUAGGCAAUCUAGUAUAUUAUUCGUGGCACUAAUCUCUAGGCAUGUGCAUGGGGAAAAUAUUCGGCUUGGUUCGGCAUUUCGAAAUUCGGGACUUCGGAACUUCGGCAACUUCGGCACUUCUCUUGCAGCCGCUUGGUAGAUAACUCCUUAAUUCCCAUGGUAUUAGGGAGUUAUCUACCAAAAGGCUGAAAGACCUAAAUUGGUAUUUCAGCCAAAUUUACUAAUACUAAGUAAAAAUUAUGAGAGGCGGGUGGGGGCCCUAAAGUAAAAAAGGGGGAAGGACCUAUUGUCCUCCCCACCGGCCCUCACCCCUGAUCGGCAUGUGGGGGCUCUAAAUAAAAAUUGGGGGGGGGGACCAAAUGUCCUCCCCCUGACCCCCACCCCUGAGCGGCAGGUGGGGGCCCUAAACUAGAAUAAGGGGGGGACCUAUUGUCCUCCCCCCUGAGGGGUGGAUGGGGGCCCUAAAUACAAAUUGGGGAAGGGGACCUAAUGUCCUGCCCCCUGGCCCCCACCCCUGAGUGGUGGGUGGGGGCCCUAAAUACAAAUUGGGGGGGGACCUAUUGUCCUGAGCGGUGGGUGGGGGCCCUAAACUAGAAUAAGGGUGGGGACCUAAUGUCCUCCCCCUGAGCAGUGGGUGGGGGCCCUAAAUAAAAAUUGGGGGGGGACCUAAUGUCCUCCCCCCUAGCCCUCACCCCUGAGCGAUGGGUGUGGGCCCUAAACAAGAAUAAGGGGGAGGAGGGACCUAAUGUCCUCCCCCAUGAGCGGUGGGUGGGGGCCCUAAAUACAAAUUGGGGGGGCCUAAUGACCUAAUGGGGGCACCCGAAUGUCCGAAUUACCCGAAAUUCAACCAAAUUUUAAUUUGGACCGAAACGAAUUGCACAUGUCUACUAAUCUCUAAUUUUCCUCACAUUAAAGGGACACUAUAGUCCCCAGAACCACUGCAGCUUCAUGUAGUGGUUCUGGUGUCUAUAGCCUGUCUCUGCAGGCUUUUUAAUGUAAACACACACUGUGUGCACACUGUAUGCAGCAGUGGCAUAAGUUCAUUUGGCAGAUCAUAUGGGUGGGGCAUUGUGAUGUCACAUGGGGGGUGCAAAUCUUUCCUUUGCUUGGGGCCACAAAAAUCCUUGCACUGGCCCUGACCUGACAUGUCCAGUACAUUUAUAAAUCCAGUAAGUAAUAAUUGUAUUCAGUGUUGUGGGCUGUAAGGUGGUCUAAAGUGCUAAAAGUUGGUCAGUCACCAUGGAGACCAGUGAAAACAGCUGAUACAUUGUAUUUGUGACUGCUUUUCAAUGUAUGCACUACUAUUCAGAACACACAGUCUUUAUACAUAAAACUUCCAAGUUUCAGUAAGGUUCUUUGUCAAUUAGAACUUGAUUAUAAAUAGUGUCACUUCUCACCUUACCUGUGUAUCUACCUGAGUUAAAUAUUUGCUCACUGGAUUACAAGGAGUGUUGCUGGGCUGUGUGUUUUUAAAAGGAUGACCUAUCAGGAACAACAGAAUAACCUGGGACAUGAUUUCAGAUAAAUAGCAUCAUUAAAACCAUAUUCUUCAUAAGUGGGAUCACAGUAGAUUCCAGAUUUCCUCCUAAUUGUUCUACUCACAAUUAUCCAUAGACUAUUCUUGCAUCUAUUCUAUGUAUCCUUUAAAAACACAUUAGGAUGAAUACAACUAGUCAAUUUAUGUGUUAUUUCUAAAAAAAAAAUUAGAAUAUUUCUAUAAAUAGAAAAAUCUAAACAAUAAAAUAAAAUAACUUGCAAAUAAUAUUUAUAAUAGAUAUUUUAAAAAAUUAACAAGCAAAUGUAGACAUACUAAUUCUAUCACUCGUUAACACAUAGAAUGAAUUUUAAAAAUUCUUAAUAAUUAAAUAGAGUAAUUAUCAGACACAUACUGGUUGUAAAACACUGAUAUGCUAUUCCAUUAUUUAUGCAACAGAUGUAUCUGUUAAGCCACCUGUCCUCUUUCACAGCAAGGUAGGUAAUCUGUUUUUUUAGGGUUACAGCUGCUUCAUUGUCAUUAACCAUUUUGCAUGAGAAGGAAGUGCAACAAAUUACAACAAAUUAUUUCUCCCACUUGCACUCAAAGGAUUCAUUAGCAGUGAAUAUUAAUUGCUUAGCUUACCCUGUUUGAUAAAAAUAACCCCCCUCGUUAAAUCUACAUUCGAUUUCAGUUCUUCAAAUUCAUGUUUUCUGUUCAAGAGAAAAUGCAAAACACACAUUACCAAGGAAAUUAAAUGUGAUUACACUUUUUAAAUUAACACAAACAGCCAAGCAGUGCAACAACUUAACAUAUGAGGUAUGCAAACACCCUCAAAAUGUUUGGCUAUUAUAGUGACAAAUUAUAAAACAACGCUUGAUGUACGCUACAUUGAAUGGACAUUGGUGUCAGAUUCAGCAACCCAACACUAAAAAGUGUUCAAAGUCAAACAACCAAAUUGUUAAAUGCUUUUAAGAUUUUUUUUUCAGUUUACCUAUUUUGGUCUGGCUUAUACAAUUCGGUUUUUCAUAUCAUCAACAUUCACUGUUUCGGUUAUAAAUCUCUUUAGUUUCUUGUGUUUACAGAGAAUGGUGAGAUAAGCAUAAAACCAUAACACAUUGUUAACGAAGUAACAGCUAAUACCUUUAUACGGGAAUACCCAAAAACAAAAAUUUCUGCUUUUUACAACAGUAACUGAGCACACCACAAGGCAAACCUUGAAGCAAAUAUGCUACUGUAAUGGAAGAACACUCCCGCCUGUGUACCACAUGAAGAUGAAGUUACAAUG